UACGGAGGGUGCAAGCGUUAUCCGGAUUCACUGGGUUUAAAGGGUGCGUAGGUGGGCAGGUAAGUCAGUGGUGAAAUCUCCGGGCUUAACCCGGAAACUGCCAUUGAUACUAUUUGUCUUGAAUACUGUGGAGGUCAGCGGAAUAUGUCAUGUAGCGGUGAAAUGCUUAGAUAUGACAUAGAACACCAAUUGCGAAGGCAGCUGGCUACACAAAUAUUGACACUGAGGCACGAAAGCGUGGGGAUCGAACAGG
rnacentral:rRNA from 1 species